rnacentral:rRNA from 1 species
GCUUACGGCCAUACCAGCCUGAAUACCCGAUCUCGUCCGAUCUCGGAAGCUAAGCAGGGUCGGGCCUGGUUAGUACUUGGAUGGAGACCGCCUGGGAAUACCAGGUGCUGUAAGCU